AACCUUAUGGACCUGCGGGCGUAUACCUGCGGAAGGAUCAUUAAAAAGAGUGUGUACCCCCCUGUAAAAUGGGUGGGUUACCUCCCGUCCUUUGUUGACCUCUUAGGAGGUUAUUUUGAACUUUUCUGCUUCGGUGGGGUUAAACCUACCGGAACACCCUCAAAUUCUGAUCAUUUAAAAAUUGUUCAGUCCGAUUUUUGUUAAUAAAAACAAAAAACUUUUAACAAUGGAUCUCAGAUC
rnacentral:misc_RNA from 1 species